AGUGAACGCUGGCGGUAGGCCUAACACAUGCAAGUCGAACGACAGCACAGUAAGAGCUUGCUCUUACGGGUGGCGAGUGGCGGACGGGUGAGGAAUACAUCGGAAUCUACUUUUUCGUGGGGGAUAACGUAGGGAAACUUACGCUAAUACCGCAUACGACCUACGGGUGAAAGCAGGGGAUCUUCGGACCUUGCGCGAUUGAAUGAGCCGAUGUCGGAUUAGCUAGUUGGCGGGGUAAAGGCCCACCAAGGCGACGAUCCGUAGCUGGUCUGAGAGGAUGAUCAGCCACACUGGAACUGUGACACGGUCCAGACUCCUACGGGAGGCAGCAGUGGGGAAUAUUGGACAAUGGGCGCAAGCCUGAUCCAGCCAUACCGCGUGGGUGAAGAAGGCCUUCGGGUUGUAAAGCCCUUUUGUUGGGAAAGAAAAGCAGCAGGUUAAUACCCCGCUGUUCUGACGGUACCCAAAGAAUAAGCACCGGCUAACCUCGUG
rnacentral:rRNA from 1 species